rnacentral:rRNA from 1 species
GGCGAACGCUGGCGGCGCGCUUAACACAUGCAAGUCGAGCGGGAACCGGGCCUUCGGGCCCGGGGACAGCGGCGAACGGGUGAGUAACACGUGGGUAAUCUGCCCUCGGUACUGGGAUAGCCCGGGGAAACCCGGAUUAGUACCGGAUAGCCCUUCGAGCCUUCGGGCUCGCAGGAAAAGGUAGCUUCGGCCUCCGACCGAGGAUGAGCCCGCGGCGGAUUAGCUGGUUGGUGGGGUAACGGCCUACCACGGGGACGAUCUGUAGCUGGUCUGAGAGGACGAUCAGCCACACUGGGACUGAGACACGGCCCAGACUCCUACGGGAGGCAGCAGUGGGGAAUCUUGCGCAAUGGGCGAAAGCCUGAGGCAGCGACGCCGCGUGCGGGAAGAAGGCCCUCGGGUUGUAAACCGCUUUCAGGAGGGACGAAGCCACUCGGGUUAAUAGCCCAGAGGGUGACGGUACCUCCAGAAGAAGCCCCGGCUAACUACGUGCCAGCAGCCGCCGUAAAAC